ACGGCUCAUUAUGACAGCUAUAAUUUACUUGAUCUUGACAACCUACUUGGAUAACUGUGGUAAUUCUAGAGCUAAUACAUGCACAAAAGCUCCGACCUAAAGGAAAGAGCGCAUUUAUUAGAACAAAACCAAACGGCUUCGGCCGUCCACUGUUGAACCAGAAUAACUAAGCUGACCGCAUGGUCUUGUACCGGCGGCAUGUCUUUCAAGUAUCUGCCUUAUCAACUUUCGAUGGUAGCGUAUCUGCCUACCAUGGUGAUGACGGGUAACGGAGGAUAAGGGUUCGACUCCGGAGAAGGGGCCUGAGAAAUGGCCACUACGUCUAAGGAUGGCAGCAGGCGCGCAAAUUACCCACUCUCAGAAUGAGGAGGUAGUGACGAGAAAUAACGAGACAGUUCUCUUAUGAGGCCUGUCAUCGGAAUGGGUACAAUCUAAACCCUUUAACGAGUAUCUAUGAGAGGGCAAGUCUGGUGCCAGCAGCCGCGGUAAUUCCAGCUCUCAAAAUGCAUAGAAUUAUUGCUGCGGUUAAAAAGCUCGUAGUUGGAUCUGUGCCGGCGUCCCGGUCCGCCCUCACGGGCGUGUACUGGAUUCGCUGGUUUUCCGCUCAACUCCUGCCAGCGUCCUUCACUGGACGUCUGGAAAGGGUGAGCAAGUUUACCUUGAACAAAUCAGAGUGCUCAAAACAGGCGUUUCGCUUGAAUGUUCGUGCAUGGAAUAAUAGAAGAGGAUUUCGGUUCAAUUUUAUUGGUUUUAUUGACUGAGAUAAUGGUUAACAGAGACAAACGGGGGCAUUCGUAUUGCUACGUGAGAGGUGAAAUUCUUGGACCGUAGCAAGACGGACUACAGCGAAAGCAUUUGCCAAGAAUGUCUUCAUUAAUCAAGAACGAAAGUCAGAGGUUCGAAGGCGAUCAGAUACCGCCCUAGUUCU
rnacentral:rRNA from 1 species